GUCAAAUUCCUGCCUGUACAAUGACACUGCUUGUAUUGGCUCAUUAGAAAUAUCUAAAUGAUCUUCUGGGAGAUUGUGUGGGCAGCGAUGUCGGCUGAAAUAAAAGAUGAAGAAAAUAAAAGUAAGAAUAAACAGGUUUUUCGUCAUAACACGAGAUAAGAUUUUAAAUCGACAUGACUUUCCAUUGAGAGUUGAAGAGAGCUAAUACCAUUUAUGGUAUUAGUGAUCGAUGUUGCUCGCGGCACAUUAAAUUAAUUAGUAGGACACAUCAAUGUAUCGACAACUUAUUGGAAUUCAUGUAUCAAGAAUUUGUCAGUCUAUUUAUGAAAGCUGUUGUGAAGAAAAAAAAAAAAAAACAUUUUAUUUUCCAUUUUUGCAAUGAAACUUUAGACAUUUGGAAAAUCUGUUCUACGUAAUACAUAUUAAAUCGAUUUAUUCGAUGGAAUAAAUACUAAUAAGAGCAAAAAAACACUGACAACAUAAGAUUGCCAUGAAAAAUUAAAUAUGAACGAUUGAAACGCGUAGGUAGCUGAUGAUUCUAAUUAGGAAUAAACAGAGGAGGUAGCUACAAUGAUUAAAUUCUAUAAAUCAUCGGUGAAGGCAUCAGUGGCCCACAUACCAUUAGUCAUCGAUCUAAAAAAUGUGAGUAAAUAAAGCGGUAUAAUACUA